ACAGAUUUUGGUGACUGCGCUCCUCCAAGCCAGUUACCUUGGUUCAAAGAGUUGGUAGCUCAGCGAACCUUGAG
rnacentral:misc_RNA from 1 species